GCGCUCCGGCGCAGGUUCCCGGGAAGUUAUCACGUGCUGGGGGCGAGCGGCGCCGGAGAGCUGGGACACGGCGCGCCUCCGCGGGCUGGACCCGGCUGUCGCCUCGGAGGGACUCCACCCGGGGACGCUACACUUUAGGAGAAAAUGCGGAGAACUGAUUUCGGAGAAGGCAAAGUUCAGUAAUUCAUCCCGCUUCGGUGAUUGCUUCAGUUCAAGGGACUUAACAGGAUGGUUAAAGUCAGAAGCACAGUAUUGGGAAAGAAGUUUGCCUCAGAUGCCUUAGACUAAUGGGCUCCUAUAAAUCCUGCUGUUGAAAAAGGAAUUUAUACAAAGAACAGAGAUUCAAACUAGUCUGGGUGAUGCCAACGUUGAUUCAUCAAAAGAGACCAGAAGAGGGCAUUGAAUUCCCU